rnacentral:rRNA from 1 species
AUUGAACGCUGGCGGAAUGCUUUACACAUGCAAGUCGAACGGCAGCACGGGGGCAACCCUGGUGGCGAGUGGCGAACGGGUGAGUAAUACAUCGGAACGUGCCCAGUCGUGGGGGAUAACGUAGCGAAAGUUACGCUAAUACCGCAUACGAUCCACGGAUGAAAGCGGGGGACCGUAAGGCCUCGCGCGAUUGGAGCGGCCGAUGUCAGGUUAGGUAGUUGGUGAGGUAAAGGCUCACCAAGCCGACGAUCCGUAGCUGGUCGGAGAGGACGACCAGCCACACUGGGACUGAGACACGGCCCAGACUCCUACGGGAGGCAGCAGUGGGGAAUUUUGGACAAUGGGCGCAAGCCUGAUCCAGCCAUUCCGCGUGCAGGACGAAGGCCUUCGGGUUGUAAACUGCUUUUGUACGGAACGAAAAGGCUCUGGUUAAUACCUGGGGCUCAUGACGGUACCGUAAGAAUAAGCACCGGCUAACUACGUGCCAGCCGCCGCCGUAA